rnacentral:rRNA from 1 species
AACGAACGCUGGCGGCAGGCUUAACACAUGCAAGUCGAACGGUCUCUUCGGAGGCAGUGGCAGACGGGUGAGUAACGCGUGGGAACCUACCCAGUUCUACGGAACAACAGUUGGAAACGACUGCUAAUACCGUAUACGCCCUACGGGGGAAAGAUUUAUCGGAAUUGGAUGGGCCCGCGUUGGAUUAGCUAGUUGGUGAGGUAAUGGCUCACCAAGGCGACGAUCCAUAGCUGGUAUGAGAGGAUGAUCAGCCACACUGGGACUGAGACCCGGACCAGACUCCUACGGGAGGCAGCAGGGGGGAAUAUUGGACAAUGGGCGCAAGCCUGAUCCAGCCGUGCCGCGUGAGUGAUGAAGGCCUUAGGGUUGUAAAGCUCUUUCAGUGGGGAAGAUAAUGACGGUGCCCACAGAAGAAGCCCCGGCUAACUUCGUGCCAGCCGCCGCCGUAACAC